AGGUAAAAUAAUUCAUCUUAGUAGCAAACAAGGAGGAGAUGAAUGAUUGAAGAAUUUGUAUUUCAAUCUUCGCUGUCCUUUUUGAGGGGCCCCAUGACGCCGGCCACCAUUGCCACCUAUUGUUGAAUCCAAAUAAUGAUAAUGAUCCUCGAACUUUCAGACUUCGAACCGCUCACAUCAUCCGAAGACCAAUUACGUUCGGACGCAUCCCUUUUGACAUCCCUCAUUGACUGGUGGAGACCUGAAACCCACACCUUUCACUUUCGUUUUGGGGACCUUGCAUCUACACUGAAAGAUGUUUCUAGGAUCACUG